CUGACCUCAAAUCAGGUAGGACUACCCGCUGAACUUAAGCAUAUCAAUAAC
rnacentral:rRNA from 1 species